GGACCUCUUCCUGUCAGACCAGCGCCGAGGAAGCAAACCAUUGAAAAUGAAACAUACGAGGAAUAUGAGGCUUUGGAGAUAGACCCCAGUGAACAGGUGGUGGUGGCACGGAAGGCGAAGAGGCGAGUGAAUUUCUUCAAGCGCUUAUUUACUGCU